AAAAACUUAGGAUAACUUAAACCAUGGACCUUCAAAGCCCAAAAUAGGGAUGAAACCGCCCUAGUUUUUG
rnacentral:tRNA from 1 species